CAGUGAGGGAAUUAAGAAUGGCACGUUAUCCUUGUAACGGGGAUCCAGCAGGGUGGCCACCCAGUAAUCAGCACAAGUUAGAAUGUGGGAGACUCGGCAGUCGUUGCGCAGGUACUUUGGGGACUCUAGCUAACCUCGGGCUGAUCGCACGUCCCUGUGAUGGCGACAACACAUUCAGAUGUCUGGCCUAUCAACUUUCGAUGUUACUUUCUGCGCCUACCAUGGUGACCAUGGUAACGGGGAAUCAGGGUUGGAUUCCAG